CGUCCCAGGGUUUUCUGCUAAAUAAGCUCGGAGGGCUCCUUCUCUGGCAUUUGCAUCGCAACCCCAAGGAAAAGACGCUUCGUCUCUGAGGCUCGCGUUGCUUUAAGUGGUGUCACACUGGAAAGGCGAUGGCAUGCACCGCCGAGAACAACGGAGGGACGCUUGCCCUUCAGGGCAGUAUUAAGAGCGCCCUGCUGCAGCGAGGCGCAGGCAAAGUGCCUGGGACGACGCGUCACCCUACGCCGCCGCUACUACUUAAGGAGAAAUCCCAGGACCUCUGAAUCGGGAGCAAGUCUGAGAUCAGACUCGGAAGACAAGGACCAGUAAACAGAAGCCGAAGUUGGCAAGAUGGAGGCCCCGUGGGCGCAUGGUUCCUUGGUGCAGGAGGCAGGCUCAUUGCCAUUUCUAGAGGGGGUUUCACG